rnacentral:rRNA from 1 species
UGAGGAAUCUUGCGCAAUGGAGGAAACUCUGACGCAGCCACGCCGCGUGCAGGAAGACACCCCUCAGGGGCGUAAACUGCUUUUAUACGGGAAGAACACCCUGCUCGGCAGGGUCUGACGGUACCGUACGAAUAAGCACCGGCUAACUCCGUGCCAGCAGCCGCGGUAAUACGGAGGGUGCAAGCGUUGUCCGGAAUCACUGGGUGUAAUGGGUGUGUAGGCGGACCUAUAAGUCAGGGGUGAAAGCCACCGGCCUAACCGGUGAACUGCCCUUGAUACUGUAGGUCUAGAGUACUGGAGGGGGCACUAGAAUUCGUGGUGUAGCGGUGAAAUGCGUAGAUAUCGAGAGGAAUACCAGAGGCGAAGGCGGGUGACUGGACAGGUACUGACGCUGAGGCACGAAAGCGUGGGGAGCGAACAGGAUUAGAUACCCCGGUAGUCC